rnacentral:rRNA from 1 species
AUUGAACGCUGGCGGCAGGCCUAACACAUGCGAGUCGAACGGUAACAGGAAGCAGCUUGCUGCUUCGCUGACGAGUGGCGGACGGGUGAGUAAUGUCUGGGAAGCUGCCUGAUGGAGGGGGAUAACUACUGGAAACGGUAGCUAAUACCGCAUAAUGUCGCAAGACCAAAGAGGGGGACCUUCGGGCCUCUUGCCAUCGGAUGUGCCCAGAUGGGAUUAGCUUGUUGGUGGGGUAACGGCUCACCAAGGCGACGAUCCCUAGCUGGUCUGAGAGGAUGAUCAGCCACACUGGGACUGAGACACGGUCCAGACUCCUACGGGAGGCAGCAGUGGGGAAUAUUGCACAAUGGGCGCAAGCCUGAUGCAGCCAUGCCGCGUGUAUGAAGAAGGCCUUCGGGUUGUAAAGUACUUUCAGCGGGGAGGAAGGGAGUAAAGUUAAUACCUUUGCUCAUUGACGUUACCCGCAGAAGAAGCACCGGCUAACUCCGUG